rnacentral:tRNA from 1 species
GCGACCAUCGGCAGGUCACAGGCCUGGGCGGUUUCCCAGGCCGCGCGUUCAGAGAGGAUUUUCGAGCGGUAGUACGGGUUGACCUGGUCGUU